GGUCAAUAUCCCCAAUGGCCCAGCUGGGAUCUUUCACUCUAAUCUUCUAAGAAAUACAACUUUAUUUUUAGGCAUGUGACAGGGUUUUACAGCCCAGCUGGUUACAAGAUGGUAGUUUUCAUAAAUGUUAUGGAUUGCAUCUGGCUGUGAGAUAUCACAAAGAAAGACAGGCCGUGUAGGACAUAUGUAGAAUUACUUUGGAAAUAGGUCAAUGUGAUGCAGUGCUUGUUCAAGGUGUAGCCAGCUCUCGCCUGGCUUCAUUUCAGGUUAUUAACAGAGCCGAGCUAUGCAAGAAGAAGUGUCUAUAGCUUAUUUCCAAAGCCGUGGUUUCAUAUUUCCUCAUUAUAAAGGCAUCAAGGAUUUUAUUCCUGCAGACUAAUUUUAACAUCAUGCAGAGAUCUGAAAAUUGCUGAUGAAUUCCUG